GGUAAAUGGAUAGGGAAAGAAAUUUAGACUGGCAUUGGAUUGCUUAAAGAGUUGUUGCAAGGGUUCUUAACAUACAGACAGUGUGCUAAUCUCUCUACACAAGGCAUAGGAUCUUACAUUUGUAAGUCCUUAUUCUGAUUGAAAGUGGCUUGGUACUUUAACAUAUCACAUAGCUAAAUGGAUGUCCUACUUUUGCAACAGGUGUACUGCCAGUGGGAAGAAGACCCGUAGUGACCAUAUUUCUUUUCCCCAGAGUUACCCUUAGGGGUCUGGUAGGUUAAAUGCACCUUGAUUAACAAUCAACCUCAGACUGUAACUUACAGACUUCAUCAUUCAUUUAUGCAGGUAGAUUGAGUGCA
rnacentral:lncRNA from 1 species